UUCACGGUCUGUGGUGAACCAGCGGAGGGAUCAUUGCUGGAACGCGCCCCAGGCGCACCCAGAAACCCUUUGUGAACUUAUACCUUACUGUUGCCUCGGCGCUAGCUGGUCCUUCGGGGCCCCUCACCCUCGGGUGUUGAGACAGCCCGCCGGCGGCCAACCCAACUCUUGUUUUUACACUGAAACUCUGAGAAUAAAACAUAAAUGAAUCAAAACUUUCAACAACGGAUCUCUUGGUUCUGGCAUCGAUGAAGAACGCAGCGAAAUGCGAUAAGUAAUGUGAAUUGCAGAAUUCAGUGAAUCAUCGAAUCUUUGAACGCACAUUGCGCCCUCUGGUAUUCCGGAGGGCAUGCCUGUUCGAGCGUCAUUUCAACCCUCAAGCCUGGCUUGGUGAUGGGGCACUGCUUUUACCCAAGAGCAGGCCCUGAAAUUCAGUGGCGAGCUCGCCAGGACCCCGAGCGCAGUAGUUAAACCCUCGCUCUGGAAGGCCCUGGCGGUGCCCUGCCGUUAAACCCCCAACUUCUGAAAAUUUGACCUCGGAUCAGGUAGGAAUACCCGCUGAACUUAAGCAUAUCAUAA
rnacentral:rRNA from 1 species